rnacentral:antisense_RNA from 1 species
CACACUGGGUCCUCCAGGACACCCCGGCCUUCCAAAUAAAUACAUUCAUAAGCAAAUAAAUAAAUAAUAAAUAAAUAAUAAAUAAUAAGUGCAAAUAUAAAUAGAGGGGGGCUGGCUCUGUGAGGAAGGCUGUGCAUUGCACCUCAGGGAAGAGUCUGGAAAGGUCUGAAGGUAGGAAGGCCUGAGAUCUUAUCCAGCCUCAUUCUGAGAC